rnacentral:tRNA from 1 species
UGGGAUGUAGCUUGGUGGUAGAGUGCUUGCCCAGGAUGUGUGAGGCCCUGGGUUCAAUCUCCAGUAUCUUAA